rnacentral:rRNA from 1 species
GAUGAACGCUGGCGGCGUGCUUAAUACAUGCAAGUCGAACGGAGACAUUAGCAAUAAUGUUUUAGUGGCGAACGGGUGAGUAACGCGUUGGUGACCUGCCCCGAAGAGAGGGAUAACAGUUCGAAAGGAUUGCUAAUACCCCAUGUGGUUGUUUGGAUUAGAUGCCUUACAACUAAACGGAUUUAUUCGCUUCGGGAGGGGCCUGCGUCCCAUCAGCUAGUUGGUAGGGUAAUGGCCUACCAAGGCUAUGACGGGUAGGGGACCUGAGAGGGUGGCCCCCCACAAUGGAACUGAAACACGGUCCAUACACCUACGGGUGGCAGCAGUAGGGAAUAUUGGUUAAUCUGCGAAAGCGGGAACCAGCAACGCCGCGUGCACGAUGAAGGCCUUCGGGUUGUAGAGUGCUUUUUGAGAGGAUGAGGAAGGACAGUACUCUUAGAAUAAGCUUCGGCUAACUACGUGCCAGCCGCCGCUGUAAUAC